AUCAUAGAAUGGUUUGAUUUGGAAGGGAUUUUAAAGCUCAUCUCGUUCCAAUCCCCUGUCAUGGACAGGGACACGUUCCACUAGACCAAGUUGCCCCAGGUCCUGUCCAACCUGGCCUUGAACACUGCCAGGGAUGGG